rnacentral:lncRNA from 1 species
GUAAUAAUUGCUUGAUUAAGAAGUAAUUAAUAUCUUGUAGAGAUUCAAGAUCCUUCCUCUUCCAAAAUACAAAUAGCUGAGUGAUUUCCAGCCCAGAGGUGGACAGGUGACAGUGGAGGGUAGCCUUUAUAAUGGAAAGGGGAACUCUUCCUGAAUUCAAUUAUAAGGAUUUUCUAGGCCGGGUGCAGUGGCUCAUGCCUGCAAUCCCAGCACUUUGGGAGGCUGAGGUGGGCAGAUCACCUGAGGUCAGGAGUUCGAG